CGGCGAUGCCGCCCAGACGCCCGAGGGCGCUGGCGUCGAGGGAGGCGGCGCCCGACACCAGGCUGCAGACCACCAGCGGCAGGAUGAUCAUGCGCAGCAUGCGGAGCAGCAUCUCGCCGGGGAAGGCCAGGCUGCCUGUGUCCAAGCUAACUGGGGAGACUGACUGUUGGAACCGGAACAAGAUCCCCACCUUGAUACGAAAGGCAAAGGACCUCACUUAGCAGGAAUCAGGAAUGGUUAAAUCUGCAUAGGAGGCAAGAUCAGCAUCACCAGUGCUGCCAUGUUGAUAGAAAACCAUGCUAAUCAGCAGCAGCAGCAGCACCCAUCCAAGCCUCGGCUUUCUUAUCUGUAAAAGGAGUUUACAAACCUAUACUCGGAGGGUUCUAAGAGGACUGGAAAGGAUACAUAAAAGCUCUUAGGACAGUUCCUGACACUUGGUGAGCAUCGAGUAAAUAUUUGUUAUGCAAAUUUUUGAUACAAGUCCAAAAUAAAUGAUCUGGUUUCCUAACCUGCACCAUUCAGAUAAAAAUAACAAAUUACUAUAUAAUGGUUUACAGGCAUCUCAUUGUUUUAAAGUUCCUUCUGAAAGAUGGCUGGAAAAUACACCUCCUGGAAAUCAAAACUAGUUCACAGACACCUGAAAGGAUGAGUGCAACGGGGUUCUAAUGCAGGUUGCAUUACUGUUCCCUUCCACUUUGCUUCACUGUAUUUUCUUUUCUUUUUCUUCUUCUUCUUUUUUUUUUUUUUUUUUUUGAGACAGA